rnacentral:rRNA from 1 species
AACGUAGGAGACGAACGUUAUCCGGAGUUACUGGGCGUAAAGGGCGUGUAGGCGGUUUGUUAAGUCUGGCGUGAAAGCUCUCGGCUAAACCGGGAGAGGUCGUUGGAUACUGGCGAACUCGAGGAUGGUAGAGGCGUGUGGAAUUCCGGGUGUAGUGGUGAAAUGCGUAGAGAUGUGGAGGAACACCAGUGGCGAAGGCGACUCUUUGGCCUGUAACUGACACUGAGGCGCGAAAGCGUGGGGAGCAAACAGG